UACUGCUUCGUGAGUCGUGAGUCUGUACAUGCUGCUUCGUGCAUGUGGUUUGUACAUCUGUUAUGGUCGACGAACUAACCUCUGUUCAGCUUCUCUACUAGCUAUCUCUUAUUGUUCAAUAUUUUCAGUAUCGUCUAGGCUGGGAGAGGUCAAGAUCAACCUGGACGGCACUGGUGUUGCAAACUACAGCACACGGAUAUCGUUCUUGGAUUACAUCCUUGAUGUAGUGUUCUGAAUUUGUGUUGGUCAAAACCUUUAUAUGGAGGGCAUUCUUAGUACAAUUGGGGUGCAUAGUUGCAUACACGACUGUUACAGUGUAACCAAAGUCUAUGGAUCUGUCAAAGGGUCUUGCUGCAUAUGGUCAUUAUUGUAUUGCGUGGAAGGAGCGAAUGGAGAGCUAUGAGCAGAAUCACAGGAGAUGCUGCACAAUAUGAGGAAUGACGGUAAAGGCUUUGAACUGUGAUGACAAUGAUGCCCGAUCUGACCAUUAGUAUAUUCUCAUCAAAGUGUUGUUAGAACGCGGAGAUUCUAUGCAAGGACUGACAUUUAAGAAGGAUGUAGUAACAGGUAAACCUUGAUGAAUAUUUUAACUUUCCGUGAGGAUCUUUUCAUUCAGCACAUACAUAUGUUGAGUUCUUCUUGUGUUUAGAAUUAAGAGGUGCAGCAUGCCGGACGUCCUUGCGGGAGUAGUCGAGGAGUAUCUCCCUAGCGAUUUGGAUGUACAGAGUUUAUGAUAUAGCGACCUUUUUUUUGUACUGACUAUUGAGUUUUCUCCUUCAGGGUGCCUUGUUCUUACAGGAUUUCAGAGAGUAUGGACCACCAUAUGGCUGAACAAGAUGCCAUUCUUGACUGUCAUUGUCCUUAGUGUGUUGCUGCUAUUUUCCUGGCAGGUAAUCUGUGCACUGCGGAGACCUCGGUCUUACCACUGUAGGGGCCUUCUGAUCAAUUGUCUGCAGUCGUUGGAAUAUUUUUCUCCAUGCCCGUUUUGUCGCUCAAAUUUCUGAUUUUAUCUAGGUAGGCGUUCCGAUGAAUUUACUCUUC